rnacentral:tRNA from 1 species
GGGCGAGUGUUGGAAGUGGGAGACAAGGUAGACUUAGGAUCUACUGGGCUUGAAGCCCGUGAGGGUUCAAGUCCCUCCUCGCCCACCA